rnacentral:rRNA from 1 species
GAUGAACGCUGGCGGCGUGCCUAAUACAUGCAAGUCGAGCGAACGGACGAGAAGCUUGCUUCUCUGAUGUUAGCGGCGGACGGGUGAGUAACACGUGGAUAACCUACCUAUAAGACUGGGAUAACUUCGGGAAACCGGAGCUAAUACCGGAUGAUAUUUUGAACCGCAUGGUUCAAAAGUGAAAGACGGUCUUGCUGUCACUUAUAGAUGGAUCCGCGCUGCAUUAGCUAGUUGGUAAGGUAACGGCUUACCAAGGCAACGAUGCAUAGCCGACCUGAGAGGGUGAUCGGCCACACUGGAACUGAGACACGGUCCAGACUCCUACGGGAGGCAGCAGUAGGGAAUCUUCCGCAAUGGGCGAAAGCCUGACGGAGCAACGCCGCGUGAGUGAUGAAGGUCUUCGGAUCGUAAAACUCUGUUAUUAGGGAAGAACAUAUGUGUAAGUAACUGUGCACAUCUUGACGGUACCUAAUCAGAAAGCCACGGCUAACUACGUGCCAGCAGCCGCGGUAAUACGUAGGUGGCAAGCGUUAUCCGGAAUUAUUGGGCGUAAAGCGCGCGUAGGCGGUUUUUUAAGUCUGAUGUGAAAGCCCACGGCUCAACCGUGGAGGGUCAUUGGAAACUGGAAAACUUGAGUGCAGAAGAGGAAAGUGGAAUUCCAUGUGUAGCGGUGAAAUGCGCAGAGAUAUGGAGGAACACCAGUGGCGAAGGCGACUUUCUGGUCUGUAACUGACGCUGAUGUGCGAAAGCGUGGGGAUCAAACAGGAUUAGAUACCCUGGUAGUCCACGCCGUAAACGAUGAGUGCUAAGUGUUAGGGGGUUUCCGCCCCUUAGUGCUGCAGCUAACGCAUUAAGCACUCCGCCUGGGGAGUACGACCGCAAGGUUGAAACUCAAAGGAAUUGACGGGGACCCGCACAAGCAGUGGAGCAUGUGGUUUAAUUCGAAGCAACGCGAAGAACCUUACCAAAUCUUGACAUCCUUUGACAACUCUAGAGAUAGAGCCUUCCCCUUCGGGGGACAAAGUGACAGGUGGUGCAUGGUUGUCGUCAGCUCGUGUCGUGAGAUGUUGGGUUAAGUCCCGCAACGAGCGCAACCCUUAAGCUUAGUUGCCAUCAUUAAGUUGGGCACUCUAAGUUGACUGCCGGUGACAAACCGGAGGAAGGUGGGGAUGACGUCAAAUCAUCAUGCCCCUUAUGAUUUGGGCUACACACGUGCUACAAUGGACAAUACAAAGGGCAGCGAAACCGCGAGGUCAAGCAAAUCCCAUAAAGUUGUUCUCAGUUCGGAUUGUAGUCUGCAACUCGACUACAUGAAGCUGGAAUCGCUAGUAAUCGUAGAUCAGCAUGCUACGGUGAAUACGUUCCCGGGUCU